rnacentral:rRNA from 1 species
GAUGGACGCUGGCGGCGUGCCUAACACAUGCAAGUCGAACGGAGAUUACGGACGGAAGUUUUCGGAUGGAAGACUGUAAUUCUUAGUGGCGGACGGGUGAGUAACGCGUGGGCAACCUGCCCUAUACAGGGGGAUAGCAGCUGGAAACGGCUGGUAAGACCGCAUAAGUCGGUUAAAUCGCAUGAUUUGAUCGGGAAAUGAGCAAUCAGGUAUAGGAUGGGCCCGCGUCCGAUUAGCCAGUUGGCAGGGUAAAAGCCUACCAAAGCGACGAUCGGUAGCCGGACGGGGGGGUCGGCCGGCCAAAUGGGGACGGGGACACGGCCCAAACCCCGGGGGGGGGGGGGAGGGGGGGAAUUUUCACAAGGGGGGAAACUCUGAUGCAGCGGCGCCGGGGGAGGGAAAAAGUUUUUGGGUAUGAAAAGCUCUAUCAGCGGGGAAGUUGUGAACGGAACCUGACUAAAAAGCCCCGGCAACCUAGGG